GGCGCGUAUAAUUGACGAGUUUUUUUCUGGUGACGGAUGAACUCGAAAGUGGUCUAUUAUCUAUAAUGAACUUGGCCCAGUAGUUUCAGAGGAGAAGAUUUUUGUAAAAGAUUACUAAGAUUUACGAAAAAGGGUUAAAUAAAGGCAACAGUAGUAUACCGCUGUUCAAAACUCAUAAAUCCAUGGACAAAAAACAAAAUCGGGGUAACAAACUAAAACCGAGAGAAACGCAUUAAAUAUAAGAGGAGAACAAUGACACAACACCGAAACGCAACACACACAGAAACGGACCAAGCAUCAGACAAAAUCCCACGAGAAUAACACAUAUAACAUCUAAACCAAAUACAUGAAUUUGGGAUAAACAAGUACCGUGCCACGUCUUAUCUUAAUAUCUCAAAAUUAAGAAAAAACAAACGACACAACAUUAAAAUGCAACACACACAGAAACGAACA
rnacentral:lncRNA from 1 species